rnacentral:miRNA from 1 species
CUCGGGCUUAGGGCCUGC